rnacentral:rRNA from 1 species
GAUGAACGCUGGCGGCGUGCCUAAUACAUGCAAGUCGAGCGAACAGAUGAGGAGCUUGCUCCUCUGACGUUAGCGGCGGACGGGUGAGUAACACGUGGAUAACCUACCUAUAAGACUGGGAUAACUUCGGGAAACCGGAGCUAAUACCGGAUAAUAUAUUGAACCGCAUGGUUCAAUAGUGAAAGACGGUUUUGCUUUCACUUAUAGAUGGAUCCGCGCCGCAUUAGCUAGUUGGUAAGGUAACGGCUUACCAAGGCGACGAUGCGUAGCCGACCGGAGAGGUUGAUCGGCGAGACUGGAAAGGAGACGGGGGCCGAACACCAACGGGAGGCAGCAGGAGGGAAUCUUCCGCAAUAGGCGAAAGCCUGACGGAGCAACGCCGCGUAAGUGAUGAAGGUCUUCGGAUCGUAAAACUCUGUUAUUAGGGAAGAACGAAUGUGUAAGUAACUAUGCACGUCUUGACGGUACCUAAUCAGAAAGCCACGGCUAACUACGUG